GACGAACGCUGGCGGCGUGCCUAAUACAUGCAAGUAGAACGCUGAAGCGAGGAGCUUGCUCUUCUUGGAUGAGUUGCGAACGGGUGAGUAACGCGUAGGUAACCUGCCUUGUAGCGGGGGAUAACUAUUGGAAACGAUAGCUAAUACCGCAUAACAAUGGAUGACACAUGUCAUUUAUUUGAAAGGGGCAAUUGCUCCACUACAAGAUGGACCUGCGUUGUAUUAGCUAGUAGGUGAGGUAAUGGCUCACCUAGGCGACGAUACAUAGCCGACCUGAGAGGGUGGAUCGCCACCCCGGGAAUGGGAACCGGCCCAGACUCCUACGGGAGGCAGCAGUAGGGAAACUUCGGCAAUGGGGGCAACCCUGACCGAGCACCGCCGCGUGAGUGGAGAAGGUUUUCGGAUCGUAAAGCUCUGUUGUAAGUCAAGAACGGGUGUGAGAGUGGAAAGUUCACGCUGUGACGGUAGCUAACCAGAAAGCGACGGCUAACUACGUG
rnacentral:rRNA from 1 species